UGGCGGCAACAAAAAGAAAACCAGAUGAAAGUUUGUUGGCACUUGCAGGAUACUUGUUCAGGCCUCUUACCCUCUACUAUUUGUCUGUGGAACUAGGCUCUUUUGACCUGUUCUAGCUAUUCCUCCCAUUUUCAUUUCAGUGUGUUUUACUUUUCUUUUGCUUGAACAAGUUUAUAAUUAACAUAAAAUAAGCCUAAUUUUAAUUGAGUGAGCAUUAUCAGCACUUUGCACUAAUUUAUAUACUCUUUCAUUUCCUCUUUUAAGCUCUUUUUAGGUCAGACUUAGGCUUGGGGCUGCGCUUUGGUGCACACUAUGCAAAGGAUGUGGUGACGGAGCAGAAAAGGUUUGGAUCCCAAAGCCUCAGGCCUUACUACCGCCAGAUGCCUGAGCUGAAAUCUCUCUUUUGGAGUGCAGUUCUUCUUCUGGAAGAGAACCUGAGGAGCUGCAGCUGCACCUUCUCUACCUAUGCCUGAGUGAAGUCCAAACUCACUGCUGGCACCAGUGCUGCUGGACUCGGUGGAACUAAUCUUGCUCAUGCCAAUGUUAAAUUUGGACAUCUACCUUAAAGAAAAACAGCCUUUGAGGUACAGAUUAGAAUACAUCAAUGGAAAACAGAACUCAUGUGUAGCGAAGUUUUCCUCACUUGCUAAUUUUUUGCUUUAAUCUGAUUUGAACUGGACAACAUUUUUCUGCACUUGGGCUGCUACUCGCUGUUAUGAUGCAGCCACCAGGUCAGAGCUGGAGCUGGAAAAGCCCUCAUGCACGUGAAGUUCUCUGCAUUCUUGGGAAGUGAAAUCUGUAGUAAAUAGAGCCUGGGCACAGUGAGCAUAUUUGAUUGAUUUUAGUGCUGUACAGAUUGUUUUUUUUCAGUGAUGCCUUCAGUUUACUGUUUCUGGUUUGUAAAGCAAAUAGACAAACAACCAAUCAGAUGGGAAAUGCAGACCUGCCUUCAGGCUUGGGUUCCUCAUCUGGUCGCACCUGCACUUUGCCCAUGAGCUCCCUCUGGGUUCGGAUUCAAAAAACAGAUUAGGCAUUUUGCAAUGAGAAGAGCAAUAUGAAAACCACCACCCUUCCAAUCCUUAGUGCAGCCAAAGCAUGCCCCAAGGGCGUGCUGGCUGAGGAUCUGUGCUCAGUUCAGCUGUGGUUUGUAAGCAGCAUGCUGUUUAAUGCUAUCUAAAUGUUUUUAUAAAGGUCAAGUAGGAGUGGGAUCCUCCUAACUUAACUUUAGCCAUUUAGAAAUGAGAAAUCUAGUCCGCCUGAGCUAGAUUCCUCUGUGAGUGGAAAAUAUCAGCACUGCAGAAUGAUUCAUCCCAUUUUAAUCUGCCUGAUCUCUCUCCAUUGACUAUAAAAGGGGCCUGGAUGACCAGAUUAGCAUAUACCCAAAUUUUAGACAUGUAUGUGCUUACUCAGCACUUUACAAUUGGCCCUGCAAUGGCCAUACCAGAUACUAUUUUCAUAGCUCACGGUGUGCCACAGGGCUCCAACGCAGUGCCUGCACAGCUCCUGUGGCUCCUGGGGCAAUGAAUCUUGGCUGUGAGCAUUGCGGUGCCGUGCUGGCAGCACAGCCUGCUGCAUGUGUCCUCAGCCUCAGUCUUAAAACCUGGAUUGCUUACAGGUUCAGGGCUCAUCUGUACUGCCUUGACAGAAAGCUGCUGGGCCGAUUCUUGUAGGAGCUGCUUCCAAAACUGCCUUAGAUAUAUAAAUAUUGUAUUGAGCAACAUAAAGUUAAAAAAAAAAAAAGAAA